GCAUAUCAAUAAGCGGAGGAAAAGAAACUAACAAGGAUUCCCCUAGUAACGGCGAGUGAAGCGGGAUGAGCUCAAAUUUAAAAUCUUGCAGCCUCAGGUUGUACGAGUUGUAGUCUAGAGAAUCGUUUUCCGCGUUGGCCUGUGUACAAGUCCCUUGGAACAGGGCGUCAUAGAGGGUGAGAAUCCCGUCCUUGACACAGACUACCAAUGCUUUGUGAUGCGAUCUCGAAGAGUCGAGUUGUUUGGGAAUGCAGCUCAAAAUGGGUGGUAAAUUCCAUCUAAAGCUAAAUAUUGGCGAGAGACCGAUAGCGAACAAGUACCGUGAGGGAAAGAUGAAAAGCACUUUGGAAAGAGAGUUAAACAGUACGUGAAAUUGUUAAAAGGGAAACGAUUGAAGUCAGUCAUGCUCUCCGAGACUCAGCCGAUUCUGUCGGUGUACUUCUCGGUUGGCAGGCCAGCAUCAGUUUUGAUCUGUGGAAAAGGUUGGAGAGAAUGUGGCAUCUUCGGAUGUGUUAUAGCUCUUCUUCGAAUACAUAGAGCGGGACUGAGGAACGCAGCGUGCCUUUUAUUAGGUUGGCCUUCGGGUACAUACACGCUUAGGAUGCUGGCAUAAUGGCUUUAAACGACCCGUCUUGAAACACGGACC
rnacentral:rRNA from 1 species